rnacentral:rRNA from 1 species
GACGUAGGGCGCGAGCGUUGUCCGGAUUUAUUGGGCGUAAAGAGCUCGUAGGCGGCUUGUCGCGUCGUUCGUGAAAACCCGGGGCUCAACUCCGGGCUUGCGGGCGAUACGGGCAGGCUAGAGUUCGGUAGGGGAGACUGGAAUUCCUGGUGUAGCGGUGAAAUGCGCAGAUAUCAGGAGGAACACCGGUGGCGAAGGCGGGUCUCUGGGCCGAUACUGACGCUGAGGAGCGAAAGCGUGAGGAGCGAACAGG